rnacentral:misc_RNA from 1 species
CGCACAUUGCGCCCCUUGGUUAUUCCUCGGGGCAUGCCUAUUCGAGCGUCGUUUCGACCCUCGAGCGCAAGCUUGGUGUUGGGAGACGUCGCGGCCCACGGGCGGCGGCGCUCCUCGAAUCCAUCGGCGGCAGCAGCACGGCCUAAACGCAGCAGCAAUGCAGUUAGAAGCCCGCGGCGGCCCGCCGGAACCACCCGCCUUUUGGCACCUCGCUCGACCUCGAAUUAGGUAGGGAUACCCGCUGAACUUAA